rnacentral:rRNA from 1 species
GCACAGAGUUAGCCGGGGCUUCCUCUGCGGGUACAAUCAAGUCGGUGACGUAUGAGGUCACCUCCCUUUUUCCCCGCUGACAGGAGUUUACAAUCCAAAGACCUUCAUCCUCCACGCGGCGUUGCUGCGUCAGGCGUUAGCCCAUUGCGCAAAAUUCCCCACUGCUGCCUCCCGUAGGAGUCUGGACCGUGUCUCAGUUCCAGUGUGGCCGAUCACCCUCUCAGGCCGGCUACCGAUCGUCGCCUUGGUAGGCCUUUACCCUACCAACUAGCUAAUCGGACGCGGACCCCUCCUUCGGUACGAGAUCUUGCGACCCCGCUUUCGCCUCUCGGUCUUAUGCGGUAUUAGCCCGAGUUUCCCCGGGUUAUUCCCCACCAAAGGGCAGGUCAUCCACGCGUUACUCACCCGUUCGCCGCUCGACUAUCCCUUGCGGGACGCCUCGCUCGACUUGCAUGUGUAAAGCACGCCGCCAGCGUUCAUU